CAACUCUUAUCUUCCUGGCUUAGUUUUUUUUUUUUUUCAAAUGUAGUCUAGAAUCUACGUGAACAAGAUUUACAUUGAUGAUUGAUCUAGAGUCUAUAUACUAUAUUAUAUAGUCUUGAUCUACCUGGCAGUAACACUAACGUUUAAAAAAGUCUAGGAUUGACUCGAAAUAUGAUCUAGUGGUAUAGAUCUGUAUCUAGAUUUAUAUAACAAUCAUGGCCAGCUACGAUAUCAACGCCGAUAUGAUCGAUGCAUCUCUUACUAAGAGUUUACCCGCUCAAGUUGCAGCAUUAUCUGAAGCGAGAAAAGAAAACGCAGCUGAAUUAGCAAGAUUGCAAGUGGAACUAACCGAUCUUGAGGGAAAAGUAGUGAAAGGUAAAGAAGAGAAAAAAAGGUUAGCCAUUGAAGUGAAUUGUCUGUUGUCAAAGCUGCAUGCACUUGAAGAAGAAGGUCAGAGACGACAGUUAAACACAUCUGUUUUACAAAAAGAAAUAACUAGAGCAGUAACUCUUAAUGCAGACCUGAAAUUGAAACUCGUUGAAAGAGAAGAUGAAUCCAGCACAAUGGAAAAAAAAUGUACAAGACAUGGAGAAAAACUAGACUUAGUUAAAAGAAAAACAAGUUUAUAUGAGAACGCUGAAGCUGUCAUGAAAGAGCUAAAGAUGAUCAGGAUCUUAACAGAUAGUAUGGUGGCCAGAAAGGAACAGCUUGAAAAAUGUUGCACUGACAUGAACACAGGUCAGACAAUACAAAAGCAAAUAGAAACAGAAGACAUUGUAACUUUGGAGACUUCAGUCAAUGAGCAAAAAGCACUUCUAAAUUGUAAGCUCAAAGAGGUAUAUUUAGCUUGAAGACUGUCAGCAAGAAAGAAAGCAACUUGAAAUAGAUAAUCACAUUUUGCAGAAAAAGAAUGCAGCUUUGUUAAUUCGACUCAAGAACCAGGUAAAGGAACAGAAAGCUAUUGUUUUAAAUAAACAUACUUUUCAAAAUUGAUUGUAAUAAUUAACAUAAAAAUAUUAAAACAAAGGUAAAUAAAGUCAAGUGCAAAAGAAAAA